rnacentral:rRNA from 1 species
GACGAACGCUGGCGGCGUGCUUAACACAUGCAAGUCGAACGGAAAGGCCCUGCUUUUGUGGGUUGCUCGAGUGGCGAACGGGUGUGUAACACGUGAGUAACCUGCCCUUGACUUUGGGAUAACUUCAGGAAACUGGGGCUAAUACCGGAUAUGAGCUCCUGCUGCAUGGUGUUGGUUGGUAAGUUUCGGCGGUUGGGGAUCGACUCGCGGCUUAUCAGCUUGUUGGUGGGGUAGUGGCUGACCAAGGCUUUGACGGGUAGCCGGCCUGAGAGGGUUACCGGCCACAUUGGGACUGAGAGACGGCCCAGACUCGUACGGGAGGCAGCAGUGGGGAAUAUUGCACAAUGGGCGGAAGCCUGAUGCAGAAACGCCGCGUGCGGGAUGACGGGCUUCGGGUUGUAAACCGAUUUCGCCUGUGACGAAGCGUGAGUGACGGUAAUGGGUAAAGAAGCAACGGCUAACUACGUG